GUUAAAUACAAAUUCCUAAUUAGGGAUUUGCGUUGUAGAAUCCAUUUUUAGGGAUUUGCAUUGUCGAAUCCAUUUUUAGGGAUUUGCAUGGUCGAAUCCCUAAUUUAGAAGUGCUUAUUACAUCUGCAGAUUCUCGAAUCAGGGUUGUUGAUGGUGUUGAUCUGAUUCACAAGUUCAAAGGAAAUCUAGAUGGUGGAUUGUGAUUGAUGGAUGGCUUGGAAUAUUGGCACCUAUGCUGGCAUAGCUUAAUGGUGUGGACGAUCAACUGUCCUCUGUUUUGGGGAUCAGUAUAUACUGGGGUGGAUUUUUGUAAAAGGCUAUGUGGUGUCUCAGUUAUUAGAAGGUAGACUGUCAUAGUUUGUUGCGAGUUCUAUUAUCAGUAUUAUUUCCACCUUUUAAGUACUGAACAUGAAGAACAUCUUA